rnacentral:rRNA from 1 species
UACAGAGGUCUCAAGCGUUGUUCGGAUUCAUUGGGCGUAAAGGGUGCGUAGGCGGCGCGGUAAGUCGGGUGUGAAAUCUCGGAGCUUAACUCCGAAACUGCAUUCGAUACUGUCGUGCUUGAGGACUGGAGAGGAGACUGGAAUUUACGGUGUAGCAGUGAAAUGCGUAGAGAUCGUAAGGAAGACCAGUGGCGAAGGCGGGUCUCUGGACAGUUCCUGACACUGAGGCACGAAGGCCAGGGGAGCAAACGGG